UUGUAUUCGUCCAAUGUAUGUAUAUACACAGUAAAUCUGAAGUCUCCAAGUCUGAAAGAGUUCAAAUGAGGCUGAAAAAACAAAAUCAAUUUUUCGAUUAUUCUC